UGCCAGCCGCCGCGGUAAUACGGAGGGUGCAAGCGUUGUUCGGAAUCACUGGGCGUAAAGCGCGUGUAGGCGGCUUGGCAAGUCGAGUGUGAAAUCCCGGGGCCCAACCCCGGAACUGCACUCGAAACUGCCUCGCUAGAGUCUCGGAGAGGAAGGCAGAAUUCCUGGUGUAGGGGUGAAAUCCGUAGAUAUCAGGAGGAAUACCAGUGGCGAAGGCGGCCUUCUGGACGAUGACUGACGCUGAGACGCGAAAGCGUGGGGAGCAAACAGGAUUAGAUA
rnacentral:rRNA from 1 species